rnacentral:rRNA from 1 species
AGAGUUUGAUCCUGGCUCAGAUUGAACGCUGGCGGCAUGCCUUACACAUGCAAGUCGAACGGCAGCGCGGGAGCAAUCCUGGCGGCGAGUGGCGAACGGGUGAGUAAUAUAUCGGAACGUGCCUUAGAGUGGGGGAUAACUAGUCGAAAGACUAGCUAAUACCGCAUACGACCUACGGGUGAAAGUGGGGGAUCGCAAGACCUCAUGCUCUUAGAGCGGCCGAUAUCUGAUUAGCUAGUUGGUGGGGUAAAAGCCUACCAAGGCGACGAUCAGUAGCUGGUCUGAGAGGACGACCAGCCACACUGGGACUGAGACACGGCCCAGACUCCUACGGGAGGCAGCAGUGGGGAAUUUUGGACAAUGGGGGCAACCCUGAUCCAGCAAUGCCGCGUGUGUGAAGAAGGCCUUCGGGUUGUAAAGCACUUUUGUUCGGAAAGAAAUCGCUCUGGCUAAUAUCCGGAGUGGAUGACGGUACCGGAAGA